UACGUAGGGUGCAAGCGUUGUCCGGAAUUAUUGGGCGUAAAGAGCUCGUAGGCGGUCUGUCACGUCGGACGUGAAAAUCCAGGGCUCAACCCUGGACCUGCGUUCGAUACGGGCAGACUAGAGUUCGGCAGGGGAGAGUGGAAUUCCUGGUGUAGCGGUGAAAUGCGUAGAUAUCAGGAGGAACACCGGUGGUGUAGACGGCUCUCUGGACCGUAACUGACGCUGAGACACGAAAGCGUGGGUAGCAAACAGG
rnacentral:rRNA from 1 species